UGCCCAGCAACCCCUAUCCCUAUCUCCUCAUGGUACUGGCCGGGGUACGAGCAACCUUAGGGAAGAUCGGCUUAACAACCCCGAUGAAAACUUUGGUCGUAUGCUGACAGGGAAGG
rnacentral:ribozyme from 1 species